CCUACGGGAGGCAGCAGUGGGGAAUCUUGGACAAUGGGCGAAAGCCUGAUCCAGCAAUGCCGCGUGCGUGAAGAAGGCCUUCGGGUUGUAAAGCGCUUUUGUUCGGGAGGAAAUCCUAGUGGCUAAUAUCCACUGGGGAUGACAGUACCGGAAGAAUAAGGACCGGCUAACUACGUGCCAGCAGCCGCGGUAAUACG
rnacentral:rRNA from 1 species